UACGAAGGGGGCUAGCGUUGCUCGGAAUCACUGGGCGUAAAGGGUGCGUAGGCGGGUCUUUAAGUCAGGGGUGAAAUCCUGGAGCUCAACUCCAGAACUGCCUUUGAUACUGGCGACCUUGAGUCCGGGAGAGGUGAGUGGAACUGCGAGUGUAGAGGUGAAAUUCGUAGAUAUUCGCAAGAACACCAGUGGCGAGGGCGGCUCACUGGCCCGGUACUGACGCUGAGGUGCGAAAGCGUGGGGAGCAAACAGG
rnacentral:rRNA from 1 species